rnacentral:tRNA from 1 species
GUUUCGGUAGUAUUAAUUACGUCAGUUUAAAGAUACUGGAUGUGCAAAUUUAAAAUUAGAAUUGCUCGGGACU